GACGAACGCUGGCGGCGUGCCUAAUACAUGCAAGUCGAACGAAGCUGUUUUAACUGGUGCUUGCACCGACUUAAACAACUGAGUGGCGAACGGGUGAGUAACACGCGGGUAACCUGCCCCAAAGCGGGGGAUAACAUUUGGAAACAGAUGCUAAUACCGAAUAAAAAUCAGUGUCGCAUGACACAAAGUUAAAAGGCGCUUUGGCGGCACCUAGAGAUGGAUCCGCGGUGCAUUAGUUAGUUGGUGGGGUAAAGGCCUACCAAGACAAUGAUACAUAGCCGAGUUGAGAGACUGAUCGGCCACAUUGGGACUGAGACACGGCCCAAACUCCUACGGGAGGCUGCAGUAGGGAAUCUUCCACAAUGGGCGAAAGCCUGAUGGAGCAACGCCGCGUGUGUGAUGAAGGCUUUCGGGUCGUAAAGCACUGUUGUAUGGGAAGAACAGCUAGAAUAGGGAAUGAUUUUAGUUUGACGGUACCAUACCAGAAAGGGACGGCUAAAUACGUGCCAGCAGCCGCCGUAA
rnacentral:rRNA from 1 species